UAAACUCGUCACGAAAAAAGGAAAAUUUUUCCUUUAGGUUUUUUGCACAUUUUUUUUUCGAAUGAGUGAAUAAGCCACAUUUUGUAUUGGUUUACCUUAUUUUACAUACAAAAUGUUAUUAACAGCGUGCAUUUAAAUUUCGAAGAUUUGCAACAAAUAUGUCGUCUCUGCCUAUGAAAAGGUAAAUUUGUAUGAUUGCAAAAUAAAACUACGCGAAACCAGCGAGGAAGCCAGAUCCGAAAAUCACUUGAAUCUAACGAUCACAUAAUUAAUGGAAAUAUUUAUUAACAGCAAGUUGGCUUGGCUGCGCAUGACAUUAGCUGCGACUCUAACAGAUACUUCGUGUCUCUUAACAGUCAUUUGGAACUACGCAUAUUAUGUGUUUGCAUUAAAUGGUUGCGAACACUCGAGGUAAUUCAUAUAGUUGAAUCGUGGCAAGAUCCCGGGAAGCUCGCAUUGGUAUGCAAAAGUCGAAGUUAAUUAUCACAUCUUAAUUUUAUGUUCAGUCAUUAAAUCAUUGCAAAAAUCAACUGAGGGUACGCAAGAAUAAAGUGGCGGUCAAUAGCAUUAGUGACAAGCGUUGGAGCCAUGCUAAGAAAUUGGCAAGAUUUAAAGCAAGCGCUUUAGCGACAUUUCAUGCAAUUGCUGUCGGUGAGUUGCUUAGUGAAUCAUCUAUAGGCAUGGGGGACCAUUAUAGCGCAUUUUAAGGGAAACAAACAAAUUACAACAGACACAACACAAAAAGAUUGUAACAUUAUGUCAGAGACAGGUGACAAUAUACGGGAGAAGCUCAACAUUAUGCCAGGGGCGAGUCACAACAUUCAAGAGAGCCUCAACACCAUGUCAGAGACGAGCACACAUACCAGAUGUAGCAUAAAAAAUAGGCUGCAUUAGCAAGAAUGAGAACGUGAGCGAAAAUAUCAGGAAGAACACUUAAAAAGAGAUGAACGAGAGCAAAAAUUUUGGGAUUAAAAGGUUUAAAAUAAAGUGAAGUACUGGUAGACCUAACUAUGGAUUAGUAGAUGUAACCGAAGUUAUUCGAAGUUUCUAUUGAAAUUAUUAUUAGUACUUUUUAUGUGAAUUUCUCGAAGAUAAGCAUCUAAAAAAUUCAAUUCGAAAUGAAUUGCGAUUUCUUUGAUAUUUAGCGCAUGAUGGUAGUACUCAAUCAAUCCCACAAUUGGGCUUAACAAUGUUUAACUAAAAUGUAUCUUGAGUGAAGUAUGCGUUUAGUAUGAAGGUUUUUAUCAAACAUAUCCUUUACUCAAAAGGUUUUUGAGAUUGCAUCCCAUAUUCCCUGUUUGGAGCAUUUGUUCCUAUAUGCUCGAGAGCGUUUAUCAUGUGAGCAGUGUUGUUUUGUGACCUCAUCAAUGAGUUUUUUUCAAACAUUUUCCGAUCAAUUUAUUUGUGUAGUUUAGAUUUAUUAAACGGACCACUUCCCUCGUUUAAUAUAAAUAAUUGCAUUAAUUUUGUUUAUUACCUGAACUUUGGAAACCCAGAAUUUGUUUUACAGAAUUCUUAAUCUUUAAUUUUAUUAAUUAGCCUGAAUUCAAGAGACAAUUAUGUUAAUCUCUAUAAUCUGCUUAUAUUUUAUCAUUUAAUACCAUUGGAAGCCUAAUUUGUACUACUUGCACCAUAGUUUGAAAAUUAUUAUUUAGGACUCUUUAAUAAAACAAUUUUAUCAAAAUACUUCCAAUUCAAAAUAAAUGAUCUUCAAUGGUUAUUUUUUAUUUCUGACAAUAUAAUACAUGGUAUAAACCAAAACUGCCAAUCACACAAUGUAAAAAAAAAAAAAAAAAUGUAUAUUAGUUUAAGAUAAACACAAGUUAGGUAAAUAACUUUCAAAUUUAAAAGAAACAAUUCCUUCCAACCUUCUCAUGCGUUUUUUUUUAUUAUAUACAUGCAAAACCAUAUGAUUUAUCAAUUCCCAUAAACACUUGUAAAAAGUCGGGGAAGUUAAAGUCCCAGCCCGAAAACUUCUUAUUGCGUCAGCCACGUAUUUUUGUAAUCUACACCGCUUGUGGUACAGGGUAUAUUAAACUAAGCGGAUAUAUGUAACACCCAGUAAGGCUCAAGACAUACCGACCUUUUUUUAUACCGAUUUAUUCAGGAUCUUAAUAUGAAUUGGUCUAAGCCUGCCUGUUUACUUGUCCAUCUGAUGUCUGUCCAUGUAAAUUAUUUUGAAGCUAAAGAUCGCGAUUUUUGGGAUAUUUUGAUGAAGUUUGUAACAGUGACAAGUGUUGACACACGGACGAAUGCCUUUGAAAAUGGUUUUGAUCGGUCCACUUUUUCGACCACUU